rnacentral:rRNA from 1 species
ACGACUGCUGCUAAGACUGGAUAGGAGACAAGAAGGCAUCUUCUUGUUUUUAAAAGACCUAGCAAUAGGUAUGCUUAGGGAGGAGCUUGCGUCACAUUAGUUAGUUGGUGGGGUAAAGGCCUACCAAGACUAUGAUGUGUAGCCGGGCUGAGAGGUUGAACGGCCACAUUGGGACUGAGACACGGCCCAAACUCCUACGGGAGGCAGCAGUAGGGAAUUUUCGGCAAUGGAGGAAACUCUGACCGAGCAACGCCGCGUGAACGAUGAGGUAUUUCGGUACGUAAAGUUCUUUUAUUAGGGAAGAAUAAAUGAUGGAAAAAUCAUUCUGACGGUACCUAAUGAAUAAGCCCCGGCUAACUAUGUGCCAGCAGCCGCGGUAAUACAUAGGGGGCAAGCGUUAUCCGGAAUUAUUGGGCGUAAAGAGUGCGUAGGCGGUUAAAUAAGUUUAUGGUCUAAGUGUAAUGCUCAACAUUGUGAUGCUAUAAAAACUGUUUAGCUAGAGUAAGAUAGAGGCAAGUGGAAUUCCAUGUGUAGUGGUAAGAUGCGUAAAUAUAUGGAGGAACACCAGUAGCGAAGGCGGCUUGCUGGGUCUUUACUGACGCUGAGGCACGAAAGCGUGGGGAGCAAACAGGAUUAGAUACCCUGGUAGUCCACGCCGUAAACGAUGAGUACUAAACGUUGGUUAAAACCAGUGUUGAAGUUAACACAUUAAGUACUCCGCCUGAGUAGCACGUACGCAAGUAUGAAACUUAAAGGAAUUGACGGGACUCCGCACAAGCGGUGGAUCAUGUUGUUUAAUUCGAAGGUACCCGAAAAACCUCACCAGGUCUUGACAUGCUUCUGCAAAGCUGUAGAAACACAGUGGAGGUUAUCAGUUGCACAGGUGGUGCAUGGUUGUCGUCAGCUCGUGUCGUGAGAUGUUGGGUUAAGUCCCGCAACGAGCGCAACCCUUAUUGUUAGUUACCAGCACGUAAUGGUGGGGACUUUAGCAAGACUGCCAGUGAUAAAUUGGAGGAAGGUGGGGACGACGUCAAAUCAUCAUGCCCCUUGUGACCUGGGCUACAAACGUGAUACAAUGGCUGUUACAAAGGGUAGCUGAAGCGCAAGUUUUUGGCGAAUCUCAAAAAAACAGUCUCAGUUCGGAUUGAAGUCUGCAACUCGACUUCAUGAAGUUGGAAUCGCUAGUAAUCGCGAAUCAGCAUGUCGCGGUGAAUACGUUCGCGGGGUUUGUACACACCGCCCGUCAAAGGGCGACACGCGAUUGCAGUGUAACACGAGUGAUCCUGA